GUAGAUAUAGUUUAAAGAAAACAUUAGAUUGUGAUUCUAAAAAANGGGGUUAAAACCCUCUUGUCCACC
rnacentral:tRNA from 1 species